rnacentral:rRNA from 1 species
UACGGCUCAGUAACACGUGGACAACCUACCCUCAGCACGGGGAUAAACCCGGGAAACUGGGUAUAAUACCCGAUAGUUCUGGGAUGCUGGAAUGCCUCCAGGGCGAAAGCUCCGGCGGCCGAGGAUGGGUCUGCGGCCUAUCAGGUAGUAGUGGGUGUAAUGUACCCACUAGCCUACGACGGGUACGGGUUGUGAGAGCAAGAGCCCGGAGAUGGAUUCUGAGACACGAAUCCAGGCCCUACGGGGUGCAGCAGGCGCGAAAACUUUACAAUGCUGGCAACAGCGAUAAGGGGACCUCGAGUGCCAGGAUACAAUCUUGGCUGUCGUCGUGUCUAAAUAACACGGCAUAGCAAGGGCCGGGCAAGACCGGUGCCAGCCGCCGCGGUAACACCGGCGGCUCGAGUGGUAACCGCUAUUAUUGGGUCUAAAGGGUCUGUAGCCGGCCGGAUAAGUCUCUUGGGAAAUCCAGCAGCUCAACUGUUGGGCUUUCAGGAGAUACUGUUUCGGCUCGAGGCCGGGAGAGGUGAGAGGUACUUCAGGGGUAGGGGUGAAAUCUUGUAAUCCUUGAAGGACCACCAGUGGCGAAGGCGUCUCACCAGAACGGUCCUGACGGCAAGGGACGAAAGCUAGGGGCACGAACCGGAUUAGAUACCCGGGUAGUCCUAGCCGUAAACGAUACUCGCUAGGUGUCGGCCACGGUGCGACCGUGGUCGGUGCCGUAGGGAAGCCGUGAAGCGAGCCACCUGGGAAGUACGGCCGCAAGGCUGAAACUUAAAGGAAUUAGCGGGGGAGCACA